rnacentral:rRNA from 1 species
CGGGGGGGGCAAGCGUUGUUCGGAAUUACUGGGCGUAAAGGGCUCGUAGGUGGCCAACUAAGUCAGGCGUGAAAUCCCUCGGCUUAACCGGGGAACUGCGUCUGAUACUGGAUGGCUUGAGUUCGGGAGAGGGAUGCGGAAUUCCAGGUGUAGCGGUGAAAUGCGUAGAUAUCUGGAGGAACACCGGUGGCGAAGGCGGCAUCCUGGACCGACACUGACACUGAUGAGCGAAAGCCAGGGGAGCAAACGGGAUUAGAUACCCCGGUAGUCCUGGCCCUAAACGAUGAAUGCUUGGUGUGGCGGGUAUCGAUCCCUGCCGUGCCGAAGCUAACGCAUUAAGCAUUCCGCCUGGGGAGUACGGUCGCAAGGCUAG